rnacentral:rRNA from 1 species
CAGUAGCCGCGGUAAUACGAAGGGGGCUAGCGUUGUUCGGAUUUACUGGGCGUAAAGCGCACGUAGGCGGUUUCUUAAGUCUGAUGUGAAAGCCCCCGGCUCAACCGGGGAGGGUCAUUGGAAACUGGGAAACUUGAGUGCAGAAGAGGAGAGUGGAAUUCCACGUGUAGCGGUGAAAUGCGUAGAGAUGUGGAGGAACACCAGUGGCGAAGGCGACUCUCCGGUCUGUGACUGACGCUGAGGAGCGAAAGCGUGGGGAGCGAACAGGAUUAGAUACCCGUGUAGUCCCUGUCUCUUAUAC